GCAGACACAUUCCAGCCAAUCAGCAGCAGACCCUCCCUCCCAGACCCUCCCACCUCCUGGACAGCAUCCAUUUUGAAGCUGCAUUCUUAGUGAGCUGUCCAGGAGGUGGGAGGGUCUGGGAGGGAGGGUCUGUUGCUGAUUGGCUGGAAUGUGUCUG